UUUUGAUCUUGUUGUUGGACACGUCGUUUUUGUAAAAUCCGUGCUUGUUCACUCUCAAUCAAAAGCUGCCUUUUGAAGCCAAUCUUUCCAAGUUAUUACCAAUGUGUGUGUUGCAGAACAAUAAGUCGGCUAAGAUGAAGCAGAACAAGCUUGGUCUCCGUCGUGAACAAUGGCUUUAAAGGGUUCCUGGCUUGAUACUUUUUGGUCUUGUUGUUGGUCGCCUACUUCGUUUUUGGGAUGCUCGCAACAUCAAGAAAGAUGGUCAAUUUCAUGGGCAUAGUCCUCCUGUU